CAGCUGGUGGAGUCUGGAGGGGACGUGAGAAGGCCUGGAGAGUCCCUCUGCCUCACCUGCCAAGCCUCUGGGUUCAACUGUGGCAGCUAUCCCAUGCACUGGGUGAGACAGGCCCCUGGAAAAGGGCUGGAAUGGGUUGCAGCAAUGGGUACAUCUGACACUUACUACUCGGACAAAGUCAAGGGAUGCUUCACCAUCUCCAGGGACAACUCCAAAAGCCAAGUCUAUCUGCAGAUGAACAGCCUGAAGCCAGAGGACACGGCAGUCUAUUACUUUGCAGGAGACAAACAGUCAGAGGGCCAGUUGGUGGAGUCUGGAGGGGACGUGAGGAGGCCUGGAAAGUCCCUUCUUCUCUCCUGCCAAGCUUCUGGCUUUGCCUCCAGCAGUUCUGGCAUGCACUGGGUGAGACAGUAUCCAGGCAAAGGACUGGAAUGGGUUGCCUACAUAGGCACCUCCUCAACUCCUACGCACUAUUUGGAUAAAGUCGAGGGACGCUUCACCAUCUCCAGGGACAGUGCCGAGAACCAGCUGUAUCUGCAGAUGAACAGCCUGAGACCUGAUGACACAGCAGUCUAUUACUGUGCGAGAGACACAGUGCAAAGAAGUCAGCCUGACGCCAAGCAGAUACCUUCUGCUCCUCAGAACAGCUCUCCAAGUUGA